AUUGAACGCUGGCGGCAUGCUUUACACAUGCAAGUCGAACGGUAACAGGUUAAGCUGACGAGUGGCGAACGGGUGAGUAAUGCAUCGGAACGUGCCCGGUCGUGGGGGAUAACGCAGCGAAAGCCGCGCUCAUACCGCAUACGAGAUGAGGAUGAAAGCGGGGGCCCGGAAGGCCGCGCGCGGUCGGAGCGGCCGAUGUCAGAUUAGGUAGUUGGUGGGGUAAAGGCUCACCAAGCCAACGAUCUGUAGCUGGUCUGAGAGGACGACCAGCCACACUGGGACUGAGACACGGCCCAGACACCUACGGGAGGCAGCAGUGGGGAAUUUUGGACAAUGGGCGAAAGCCUGAUCCAGCAAUGCCGCGUGCAGGAAGAAGGCCUUCGGGUUGUAAACUGCUUUUGUACGGAGCGAAAAGGUCUCCUCUAAUACAGGGGGCUCAUGACGGUACCGUAAGAAUAAGCACCGGCUAACUACGUGCCAGCCGCCGCUGUAA
rnacentral:rRNA from 1 species